GACGAACGCUGGCGGCGUGCUUAACACAUGCAAGUCGAACGGAAAGGCCUGCUUUCCCUUGUGGAGUGCGGGUACUCGAGUGGCGAACGGGUGAGUAACACGUGAGUGAUCUCCCCCCAACUUGGGUAUAAGCCUGGGAAACUGGGUCUAAUUCCCGAUAGUACUGCAGGGUGGUGCCUGUGGUGGAAAACGAUUUUCUAGUGGUUGGGGAUGAGCUCGCGGCCUAUCAGCUUGUUGGUGGGGUAAUGGGCUACCAAGGCGGCGACGGGUAGCCGGCCUGGGAGGGUGGACGGCCACAUUGGGACUGAGAUACGGCCCAGACUGCUACGGGCAGCAGCAGUGGGGAAUACUGAACGAUGGGAGGAGGGCUGAAGCAGCGACGCGGGGUGGGGGAUGACGGCCGUGGUGUUGUCAACUCCUGUCGACCGAGAGGAAGCCACCUGGUUGGGAGGGUGGUGACGGUAGUGGUAGAAGAAGCGCCGGCUAACUACGUG
rnacentral:rRNA from 1 species